GGGUUGUGAGGUUAAGCGACUAAGCGUACACGGUGGAUGCCCUGGCAGUCAGAGGCGAUGAAGGACGUGCUAAUCUGCGAUAAGCGUCGGUGAGGUGAUAUGAACCGUUAUAACCGGCGAUUUCCGAAUGGGGAAACCCAGUGUGUUUCGACACACUAUCAUUAACUGAAUCCAUAGGUUAAUGAGGCGAACCGGGGGAACUGAAACAUCUAAGUACCCCGAGGAAAAGAAAUCAACCGAGAUUCCCCCAGUAGCGGCGAGCGAACGGGGAGGAGCCCAGAGCCUGAAUCAGUGUGUGUGUUAGUGGAAGCGUCUGGAAAGGCGUGCGAUACAGGGUGACAGCCCCGUACACAAAAAUGCACAUAUUGUGAGCUCGAUGAGUAGGGCGGGACACGUGGUAUCCUGUCUGAAUAUGGGGGGACCAUCCUCCAAGGCUAAAUACUCCUGACUGACCGAUAGUGAACCAGUACCGUGAGGGAAAGGCGAAAAGAACCCCGGCGAGGGGAGUGAAAAAGAACCUGAAACCGUGUACGUACAAGCAGUGGGAGCCUCUUAAUGGGGUGACUGCGUACCUUUUGUAUAAUGGGUCAGCGACUUAUAUUCUGUAGCAAGGUUAACCGAAUAGGGGAGCCGAAGGGAAACCGAGUCUUAACUGGGCGUUAAGUUGCAGGGUAUAGACCCGAAACCCGGUGAUCUAGCCAUGGGCAGGUUGAAGGUUGGGUAACACUAACUGGAGGACCGAACCGACUAAUGUUGAAAAAUUAGCGGAUGACUUGUGGCUGGGGGUGAAAGGCCAAUCAAACCGGGAGAUAGCUGGUUCUCCCCGAAAGCUAUUUAGGUAGCGCCUCGUGAAUUCAUCUCCGGGGGUAGAGCACUGUUUCGGCAAGGGGGUCAUCCCGACUUACCAACCCGAUGCAAACUGCGAAUACCGGAGAAUGUUAUCACGGGAGACACACGGCGGGUGCUAACGUCCGUCGUGAAGAGGGAAACAACCCAGACCGCCAGCUAAGGUCCCAAAGUCAUGGUUAAGUGGGAAACGAUGUGGGAAGGCCCAGACAGCCAGGAUGUUGGCUUAGAAGCAGCCAUCAUUUAAAGAAAGCGUAAUAGCUCACUGGUCGAGUCGGCCUGCGCGGAAGAUGUAACGGGGCUAAACCAUGCACCGAAGCUGCGGCAGCGACACUAUGUGUUGUUGGGUAGGGGAGCGUUCUGUAAGCCUGUGAAGGUGGCCUGUGAGGGGUGCUGGAGGUAUCAGAAGUGCGAAUGCUGACAUAAGUAACGAUAAAGCGGGUGAAAAGCCCGCUCGCCGGAAGACCAAGGGUUCCUGUCCAACGUUA
rnacentral:rRNA from 1 species